rnacentral:tRNA from 1 species
GGAGAGAUGCCGGAGUGGUUUAACGGGCGUGAUUGGAAAUCACGUAUAGUCAAAUGGCUAUCCAGGGUUCGAAUCCCUGUCUCUCCG